GAGCCUAAAUUUAGGCUCAAGCUCGGCUUGAAAUUAAUUCGAGCUGAACUCGAGCGAGCCUAAUUUCGAGUCGAGCCGAGCUCGAGCUCUAAACGAGCCGAUUGAAAUUCUCUAUAUUAUAUAAUCAAUAGUUUAAUUUUUAUAGAACAUUACCUACAAUUUGAUGCAACAUACCCAAUAGUUCAAAAUACAAAAUAAUUAUAAGAAAUGUGAGCUAGGGUGACUUCCUGACUGGAUGAGGGUCUGAGAGAGAGAGAGAGAGAGAGAGAGAGAGAGAGGAAAAAAGUAAGGAUUUGAAAAUUUGAAUGUUAUCAUGUUUUAGGGUUAUGUACAACAGUGAAAGUCUGAAAGAGAGAGUGUGUUAUGUAAAUUUAGAGUUGGGCUCAAUUGCACGGUUGUACUUGUUGGGUUUAUUUUAUAGGCCAAUAAUAAUGGCUAAAAUUAAAUUAAAGCCUAUAUAUAAUUAAAAUACAUUAUAUUUAUAAAUAUUAUAUAACCAACUACCCACUCAACCCUAGGGGACCACUAUCAUUCUAAGUGGGGACCACCAUUAUCCUAACCACACAUCCCAUCAAUCAACGGUUAAAAAUUUAUGAGUAUAAGGGGGUCUAUACUCAUAAGAGUAUAGUAGCCCCAGCCUAUAUAUAUAUAUAUAUAUAUAUAUAUAUAUAUACUACUAUACUAUUAUGAGUACGAUCGCCCUCGUACUCAUAAGUUGUUUUCGAUUAUAGAGCUUGCGAAUCGACGAUCCACACCGUUAAACGUUAUCUAGAGCAUUUAAAACCUUUAAAAAUCAAAUUUUAUAAUUUUUCGACAUCAUUUACCUUACGAUCAAAAGGUCACAAAAUUGACAAUUUUUAACGGCCGGUAUUAGAGAUUUGCUAGUUUAACAAUAUAAAAGAAUCGAAAUCAGUUGAAUAUUUGAUAGAAAAUUCUAUUCACUACAUAUAUAAAGAUCAAUAACUUCGAUCUUAAAUUGAAGGAUCCGAAGCUUGGANCAACAAUAAUGGCCCAAAUUAAAUUAAAGCCUAUAUAUAAUUAAAAUACAUUUUAUAUAUAUAUAUAUAUAUAUAUAUAUAUAUAUAUAUAGAGUCCGACUACUAUACUUUUAUGAGUAUUGGCUCUCUUAUACUCAUAAGUUUUCGGCCCUUAGAUUUAUUUUAUGAUCAUUUUCACCCGUUAGAUCAUACAAUUCAACCAACUACCCACUCAACCCUAGAGGACUACUAUUAUUCUAAGUGAGGACCACCAUCAUCCUAACCACACAUCCCAUCAAUCAACGGUUAAAAAUUUAUGAGUACAAGGGGUUCUAUACUCAUAAGAGUAUAGUAGCCCCAGCCUCUCUCUCUAUAUAUAUAUAAAAUAAAAUUAAAAAUAAUAAUUAAAUAUUUAUGAUGUUAUACCAUAUAUUUAACUAGUAAUUAACCUUUGCCAAAAUAAUAUUCCUAGAUAGUUGUUCCAUCCGGUUUAAAAAAAAAAAAUACUACUUGUACAUCCCAUCAGGGUGUAUAAGUUACAUCCGACUCAUUGGAUGGGUAGGGUGUUAACUACCACUCUACUAGUCACAUCAAGCGACGGGUGAAAACACCUCACCUAUGGGAUGAGUGGGGUAUCUAUGUAGUAUUGCUCUUUUUCAAAUAUUAGAUUUUUAAGUUAAAAUAUAUAAAAUCUUUCUACACUUUAGUGAAUUUUAAAGGCUAAAUUACAAAAAAUCUUUCUGUCAAUACAUAUUUUUUUACUUUCCCCCCGUAUUUUGAAACCUAUACUUUGCCCUUUAAAAAAUAAAAAAGUGUUCAUUUUAGCCCUCGUCGUCAAUGUUUCAUUAGUGUUCCGUUUAUAUCCUAUUUUUAUACCCAAAAUAUCCCUAAAACCCUCAUUCUUCAUCACCGACAUCCUCGGCCGCCGCCUUGCCCUCGCUAGGGAUGCAAACGGGGUGGAUCUGGGGGUGGGAGCCCCGCCCCGCCUCCCGCCCCGACUAGCAAAAUCUCGCCCCGCCUCCCGCCCAGAAUCCGUGACGAGUUAAAAAAUACAUCCCAUAAUCCGCCCCGCCUCGUAACUAGCCUCCCGCCAGCGCCUCGAAUCCGCCCCGCCAACUAAUAUUUUUUAUAAAAUUAUAAUAUUAUUAAUAUUUUAUAAAAUAUAAAUUAAUAAUUUUUAAUAAUAUUAUAUAUAUAAUUUAACAAUAUUAAUUAUAAAAAUUAAAAAUAUCAAUCACAAUUCAAAACAAAAUCCAAAAGAUUUAAGAUUACCUAUAGAAAUGAGAGUACUAACUUAUUUGUUUUUGAACUUUUUUAUAAAUAUAUUAUUUUUUAAGAUAUUAAAUAUAAAUAAUUUUCGGGCGGAUUUGGGCGGGAUCAUGGGGGGCGGAUUCGGGGCGGGUCAAAAAUUUUCCCGUUUCCUGCCCCGAAUCUUUCUCGGAUCGUAAAAUUUACCCUGCUUCCCGCCCCGAAUCCGUUUAUUUUCCCCCAUUUACUGCCCCCGUCGGGGCGGAUCGGGGCGGGAGCUCCACCAACCCAGAUCCAUAUGCAUCCCUAUCCCUCGCACAGCCUCUGUACAUGCCCACACACAUGCCCUCGCCCCCCUUUGCCGCCUCACCCUCGCCCUGGCUCAUCUCUCCAUCCAUGCCGACUUCAAUCUUUCUCUCUAUAGUCGCAAAAUGGAGGGGCGGCGGGGUUGCUGGAGAGCGGGAGAGCAAGUGGAGGAAACGGAAUCGGAGUUGGGGGUCAAGGAAGGCGCGAAGAAAUGAAGGAGGAAAGGUUGCGGCUGAGGAGGAGAGGCUUUGGAUUGAGUAGAAGACGAAGAGGAUGCAGGGCAUUUUGGUCAUUUUAUCACAGUGUGCCCCUCUGUGAAUAUUUUUAAUAUUUUAAGGGAGCAAAGUGUAGGCUUUAAAUGACAGAGGGAGAAAGUAAAAAAAGGGAUACUGAUAAAGGGUUUUCUACAAUUUAGCUAAUUUUAAAACUGAUCUAGAAACUCUUUUUUUAUAACGAAUGUUAGGCCUACAAUCCUUUUUGAAUUGAAAUUACACAACCUCUCAUCCAACGUUCCUUUCUCUCUCAAAAAAAGAAAAAAAUGAACGAAGUGGUUGGAACAAAAGAGCGGAUAUGUUAGGCCUACAAUCUCUUCCUUUUUUUUUUCUUUAUUAAUCAUUUCUAGCGCAAGUGACAAAUGGUUUGGCGGUUAGUAUUCGAGGUCUCAAGUUCGAAACCUAAUUGUUUACGCUCAAAGCUAGUUUAAUACUUGUUAAGUUUUAAAAUACCAAAUUUAUCCUAAAUAGUUUUAAAUUUUAUAGUUAGAUUUUUAAUUCAAAUUUAAUUUAAAUUUUGAUCUUAGAUUCAUAAAUUCUAAUUUUAGAUUUAAAUUUAUUUUAUUUUAAAUUUAAAUUCUGAUUUUGGAUUCGAAUUUUACAUGAAAUUCAAUUUUGAAUUCAAAUUGAGAUUUUGUACUUAAUUUUACUUACAAAUCUAGAUUUUUUGAAUAAGUUUUGGAUUUAAUUCCAAACUUUCAUUUGAAAUUCAAAUUCAAAAAUUCAGAUUCAAAUUUAGAUUUGAAAUCAACUUUGUAAUUUUAAGUUUAAAUAUUGAAUUCAUAUUUAAAAAUUAAAUUCAAAAUUUGAAUUUAAAUAUUAAUUUCUAAUUCAAAUUAUUUGUGUAAUAUAUGCGUGAUGAUGAAAAUUAUCUAUAAAAAAUUAAGAGAGUAAUUUUGAAUUUUUGAAAAAAUUUAAAAAAUUUACAGGGUAUUAAUGAUAUAAUGGAUAUCGGUCAAGUAGGUAUUUUGUAACUAUAAUGGUCAUUUUUAGAGAGAGACUAACCAUUAGAGGUAUUCGUGAUAUUCGUGAGACAUGCGUUACAUUAUUAAGGCUAAAUUAUAUAAAAAAAUUCUUGUAAAUGCCUGUUUUUUUACUUUUCUUUCCUAACUUUCAAAAACCCACAUUUUGUCCCCUUAAAAUUUCAGAAAUGUUUCAGGGGUACGACAUUAAUGGAGAAGGCAAAAUUACCAAAUUACCUUUAUUUCUUUUAUAAGAACAAUUAAUAUUUUCUUAAUAUAUUGUUAUUAUUUUGAAGGAUAUUUUCGGUACAAAUUAUAAGAAAUGGACGGAAUAGUGCUAGAACUGUAGCACACUGGACCUUUGCAAAUUGCGAGGUUCGAGUGUUUGAUCUGUGUUCCGAGUUUUUUCAGGUAUUCUGGAGGGUCGUUGACGGUGUUUCGACCUAUGCCUCGCAUCUCGAGAAUCGAGGUUUAAAAUUUAGCACCGAAGUCUCUAAAGUGAAGAUUGUUGGCUGCUCUCAGGUUGGACACUGCAGAGCAGAGUACCGGUACAGCAUCGGGCCUGUACCGGAACCAGACCCGGUAUCGGUACAGCAUUGGACUUGUACCGGUACCCAGUAUAUUUUUCUGCAAACCCGAGGCUCAGGUUGGCGCAGACUGCUGCUUGGUACCGGUACUCUUUUCCGUGUACCGGUACACAGUGCAGUGCAGACUACACGUGUAACAUACUGGACCUUUGCAAAUUGCGAGAUUCGAGUGUUUGAUUAGUGUUCCGAGUUUUUCUAGAUAUUCUGGAGGGUCGUUGACAGUGUUCCGACCUAUAGCUCGUAUCCCGAGAAUUGUAGUUUUUAAAGUAGCGCUAAGGUCGCUAAUGAUAGACUUAGGCUGCUCUCGUAUUGCAUUUUUAGGGACUGUGUACCAGUACACCUUGAUGGUUGUACCGGUACAGAAAGUGUACCGGUGACAACUCGAUUGUUGUACUGGUACAGAUGGAAUUUUCUGCCAAUCCGAGUCUCGGGUUUGCGCGCAUAGGGUUUUGUACCGGUACACUUUCCCGUGUACUGGUACACAAUGCAGAUUUCAGUCUGCGAGAACUGAGAAGUGUUUUUACAAUUUAGCCUAUCUACAAAUAUGCCCCACGCCCCUUGGUGUUCUCCUAAGCCCAGAUCAGUAGAGAAGAGAGGUAGGGACCCCUCUCUUGAUUUCCUUUCCAUUUUCUUGCAUUUUAGCCCAUUUUGAUCAUCUCUUUUUGCUUCUCCUUAUUCUUUGUUGGGAUUUCCACCUUGGAGAAGUAUUAGAUUGGAGAUUGGUGCUUGUGGGAAGGAAGAUCUUCAACCUUAGUGAUCUUGGAGCCUUGUUUUGGAGCUCUUGUGAGGUUAGUAAGCCUAAUCUACUUCUUGAUUCAUGUUUUAGUAACUUUUACUAAAGGAAACCCUAGAUUGAGCAUAUUAGGGUUAGUAAUGGGGAUUUUGGAUUUGAGGGUUUUGGAGCCCAAUUGAUCUUAUUAGAAUCUUUGUUUAGGUUGGAUUAGAGGGCCUCUAACUCUCUUUUUGGAGAUCGAGAGAGGUUUCUUCGCAUUCGGUGAGUUUUCUUCACCUUUGCUUGAGUUGCUUAAUAUUUGAGCAAUGGGUUGUUUGUAACGUUCGCGUAUCCCUCCUUUUGUUACCUUUAGGGUACUAAGAGAGUAGUGGGCACCUUCGUCGGCGCAAACGAAAAGUUUCGAGAAGUCACGGUGGGUUUGGCUUCAUUGGAAUAUGAGAAAUCUUCUCUUAAGUGGUUAAAAGUUGUUGUUUCAUCAAAAUGCAUGCAUAUUCAUGCUAGAUAGAAUUUUUAUGAAUUUUAGAAUACUUAAAAUGCAUGCGUUAUGUUUUAUAAAAAAAUUGACUCUAUGUAGUAGAGGGCUAAGUGUAUUACUCAUGCAUAUGAUUAGUAUUCUAUUUUGUAAGUUGGAAUAUGUCUCAUGUGUUGGAAAUGGUUAGAAUUAAGUGCGCUGUGACACCAAACUCAUGUUUGAACACAUUGGACAAAAGUGCCAUAAAGGGGCACCCAAACUAGUAAACAAUUGAACUGCAACAUAGUAACAUAUUGAUAGGCCAUUGUGACAUCAACUAUAUUCCAUGUUUUAGACAUGAUGACAUAGUGAUAGGUCAUUGAGGUAUUUGCUACAUUCCAUAUUUUAGACAUGCUAACUUGAGACUUGAGACGGACUUUUACGCUUGCUUGCCAUUGUACUCAUUCGCACAUGCUUGUAAGGGUCGCUUCCCACAAGCCGGCACUCCGGAGAUAGCCAUCGCGACACAUGCUCGCCCGUGCGGGAUUGGGCGCCGAAAUGGGAUGCUGUGGGGGAGGCUCAUUCCUAGAGUGGGGAUGUUGACUACCACGGGGCCAUUAGGCACGGCGCAGGCCGGACUACCCACAGGUAGGUCCUACAGGAUUGGAACAUUGGUGACUUAGUAUACUGAGCAAAAAUUGACUAGAAUAAUAAACAAUGACAUUUUACUAUUUAGCUUGUGGACAUUAUGUUAGUUGUAACAUUGGACAUUCAUGUUACAGCAGCUUUAUUACCUAUGCAAAUUCAUGCUAAGUAGAGAUAUCAUGAUUUAGUAAGUAUUCAUGUUUAAAUACUUGUCAUUCAUAUUGCUUAUUUAUUCUUACUUACCUGCUUAGUUUUCGUGCCUAGUGGCGCAUUGCACUGAAGUCAGUAAUUGCCCAUUAGGAACUAUUAUUUAAUAGUUCUCACGCCCUCUGUUUUAUGAUUUUCUUUCAGAGCCUUCAGCACCGGUGGAGGUACGGGAUCGCGGCAAAAGGGUCUCGUAGCUAGAUAACAAGGAUUUACAUUUUGCUUAGGUGGUUUUCUCUCUUAUUGUUUGUUGUUGAGAGAGAGAGAGAUGUUUUGUAUCCAUGUAUAAAGACCACCAUUGUAUUACUUUUAGCACUUGUGUUUGGAUUUCAGAUGUACUACCUUAUCGUUUACUUUUAGUGGAUUUUAUUCUUUCGCUUAUUCCUCUUUUGUAAAAUCUAGUUGUACUUCGCUCUGAUACUCCUAGAUGUUCUUCUUCUAUUGCUUUAUUUAUCGUUUUAUUGUAGACGCCUUAUAUAUUUUAGACGUAUGGCGGGUCUGGACAUGCACCGGGCGGGCUUCCGCUGGGUCUCGGGGCGUGACAGCACGUUGUUGGAGGGUGUUUUUGCAAAUGUUGCAACUCUAUAUAACCCUACCACAGCCCCUUGAGGACUCUUUUGAGCCCUAGAAUGUGGAGAACACAAGUGAGACCUCUCUCCCUUGGUUUUCUCCAAUUUUUGCUUGGUUUUAGCUAGUUUUGAUCUCUCUUUUUUUCUCCUCUUUGCUCUAUGUUGGGUUACCACCAUUGGAGAAGCCUUGAAGCUUUACUUGGAGCUUGUUGGAGAGGAGAAUCUCAACUCUAACAACUUCCUAGCUAGGUUUGGGACUUCAAGAGAGGUUAGUAAGCUUGAUCUAUCCUUUAGAUCAUAUUUUUGGAGGAAUUUUGUAUGUAAACCUAGAAAUGUGAAAUCUAGGGUUUAAUUGGGGAUUUUUGAUUUGUGGCUUUUGGAACUUAAUUGAUAGGUGUAGAACAUCUCGUUGGGGUAGAUUUGAAGUGCUCUAGCCUCAUUUUUGAAUUUGAGAGAAUUUUUUUACACUUUAGGUGAGUUUUGCCUUAUUCUUGGGUUGAGUUGAGAUGAACACUUUGGGUGUUCGUUCCUUGUGUCUAACCCCCUUAGAAUUUUCUUUAGGGAGCUAAGAGACUCGUGGACACCUUCGUCGAAGCAAACGAAAGGGAUUCGAGGAGUCUUGGUGGGUUUGACCUCACUGAAAUGAGAUAAUUCCACCUAUGUCAUUCUAAAUAUUGUAAAAUAAAAAAUUAUGCAUAUUCAUGCUAGAUAGGGUAUAUGUGAAUUUUAGAAUGCUUAAAAUGCACAUGUUAUGUACAAUAAAAAUUUGGACCUCUAUGUAGUAGAGAGUUCAAUAUGUUGGGUUAUGCAUUUGGAUAUCAUUCUUAUAUGUGGCUUGGGAUUAUGUUCAUGUAGUGAAAAUGACAAGUACAAUAUGCUCUUGGAUUUAGGACUCAUGUUGGACAUAGGAGAAAGUAUAAUGUCAUAAAGAGACAUUAAACUUGGAUUAUGCUUGACAUAGUAAAUCUAAUGUCAUGAAGUGGCAUUAGAUGUAGUAAAUGGUUGAACCUUACAUUGUGACAAAGAACUAGACCUUCGGGGUUGCUAGUAUUUAUAUCAUGUUCGGACAUGAUGACAUUGAACUUGAGACAGCUGAUUAUGCUUGCUUGCCAUUUGUGCUCAUUCGCACAUGCUUGUGAGGGUCGCUCCCUACAAGCCGGCACUCCGGAGUUAGCCUACGCGGCAUACGCUCGCUCGUACGGUAUUGAGAAGCCUACUGGACCGGGUGGGAUAGACUCAUUCCUAGAGUAGAAUAUUGGGGCUACCACGGACAAUUAGGCGGCACAAGCCGGACUACACUUGUAUAGAUCCUAAAAUUGAGAUUGGAUAUUGACAAUUAACCUUUAACAUGAUAAUCACUACUACAUAGCUUCUAGUAGUUGGAUUCUUGGGACAUGCUUGGGACUUGCUAUUGGACAUAUGGUUACUUGUUUAGACAUGAUAGUAUACAUAUUUGACAUGUUUAUAGUAUACUAGAAUAUUCAUGUGAUAUACUCGUUCAUGUUGGGCUAGCUAUUGCAAUUGUGCAAUUUCACACUAAGUAGACGCAUAGUAGUGUAGCAAUUUAAUACUUGUUAAUCAUUCAUAUAUUCACUUUCAGUUACAUACUUCUACUUAUGCUUCUGGGCCUAGUGGUGCUUUCUCGCUGAGGUCAGCAAUUGCCCACUGGAAACUAUUAAUUAUAGUUCUCACACCCCCUGUUUUGUUGUUUCUUUACAGAGCCUUUCACGCCGGGAGAGGCUCGAGAUCGCGGCAAGGGAGUUGCCUCUAGUUAGUUGUGGGAGCUUCGCUUUUAAGUGGUUCACCUCUCUUUUUGUUUUAUUUGGAGAGGUUGAGAGUUUUGUACCCUAUGUAGUGACCACCACUUUUGUAUAUUUAGCUCUUAUAUUGGAACUUGAUAUAUCUACCUUAUGAUCUUAUCAGUUGUGUAGCUCUUUUACUUUUUCCUCUUAUCAUUAGAAUUUAUCGCUUGUUGUAGGCGCCUUAUGUUGUAGGCAUAUAGCGAGUCUGGACACGCACCGGGCGGGCUUCCGCUGGGUCUCGGGGUGUGACAAGAACCCUAAGAGGGGAACUAAAUACAACAACUUGAAAUAUUGAGAGAGUAAAAUAUAGAUUUUUAAGAGUUAUGACGGAAAAGUGAAAAAAGAGUAUUUAUAAGAAGAUUUUUAUAAUUUGGCCUAUCAUUAAAUUUAGGAGAGUAUCAAUAAUAUUACAGUACGCAUGGGAGGCAUUUAUGAAAUUAUUUCUUAACUAAAAACACCAAAGGUGUUGAUAAAUACUUUGAAAUAAUUGUUUACAAGACCAUGUUUGGAUGUCCCUUAUGUAUUUUUAAAAUAUAUAGAUUAGUAAAUUUUGAAAUUUUGUAAUAUGGAGUAACAUGAACCUGAGCCUUUUUCUCUGGACAAAAGAAAAGAAAUGAAAAAAGACAAACCUGCUAUCUCUCUCUCUCUAGUCUUUAUUUUUGAAGUGUUUAGUUGACGUUAUCUGUCUCUGUACAUUUAUAAUACAAUUUUAUUUUAAUUUCUAAUUUAAAUUGGGAAUGGUCUAUUGCGAUCUACUGUUAAAUUCUUAAAAAAUUGGGAAUUUAAUAGCGUAAGUUUUUUUUUUGUUUUUUUUUUUUUUUUGUGAAUGAAGGGUGAAAUUUUUUGUGCAUAAGGUUGUUCUCCCUCUCUCUUCUUCUUGUUAUUAGAUUACAUUAUUCUUAUUGAUAUUUUUACCGAUCUAGCUAUGCCUGCAUAAGGUUGUUCUCCCUCUCCCUAGCUAUGCCUUUCCUCUUUUAUCUUUCAUUUUUAUUUUUAUUUUUUUAAUUUCAUAUAUCUCUGUUUUCUUCUUUUUUCGUCUUCGGAAGCCGUAGUUGCUUCCAUCCUGUACGCUUAAUUCAUCUUGCUUUAUGAAUGAAGCAGGUAGCUUGCUGUCUUUCUCUCAAAAAAAAUAUUAAUACAACCGUUCUGAAAUUACUAUUCAUUGAUCACAAAUAGGGCGUAAAUGAUUCGGACAUUCAUUGAUAGGACGUAAAUGAUUCACACAUGGCCAUCAAAACUAAUAAAUUGAUCCAAAAAGUAAGGAAAAUUUAGGAUGUGUUUAGUUUGACGAAGCCUUAACCACAAAGAACCGACAGGUUCCUUUCGUGCAUGGAACUCGACAUCAAAUGAGUGAGAGAAUCGUUGCGAUCUCAUCUUAGGAUGCAUAAGAAGGCAUAGUUUGUCUCAACCCCUAAGUCCUAUGACUUUUGUCUCACCAAAUGUAGGAUCUUUAAAAGUAACACGAGUUUGUCGAUGGAUUCAGCUUGUGCUUUAACCCUUCAAAAUACUCCUUAAUAAGUUUCUACUCGUUUUUUAUGAAAUUAACAGGUCAAUAUUUUUAACUAGAAAUAAAUUGGAGCUAGAAUUGGCCAAUCCUUUUUGCUUUGGACUUACCUAACUCAAUGAAUGAUCAAGAUCAAUUGAUAGUGCGUAAUCCGCUACGGUACAUUUUUGUAAUACUUCAAUAUAAAACAAUACUAUCUUUGAUUAUCAUUGACCAUAUCUAUACGUAGUUGGCAAAAUACUUGACGGUUGGCACUCGAGUUCUAUAUUCAAAACCUAGCUACUUCACAUUUCUAGCUAGACCUGGCAAUCUCGAUUCAAACCCGUGGGUGCCCACAGAUUACCAGCAAAUUUGCAGGUAUGGGUACCAACUUUUUCAACUGAAAAAAUUACGGGUAAAACGGAUGGGUACCUAUUAAGCUGUGGGUAUUUUCAGUAACUCGCGGGUAUCCAUAUGUACCCGCACAUAUAUUUUUUAAUUACAUAAUAUAUUUUCUUAAUUAAUAUAUAUAUAUAUAUAUAUAUAUUUAUUUAUUUAUUUAUUUAUUUAUUUAUUUAUUUAUUUAUCAAUCAUAAAAAUCCUAAUUCUAAUUUCUUAUUGUGUGUCUUUUAUAUUAUGAAAUAUUUUUACUUUAAGACUCUAGACUCCGUUUGGUUCGGGAAUUAGUAGAAACUAGUUAUACCGGGGAUAGGUACAAGUAUGGGUUUUUCUAAGAACAUGGGUAUUUUUUUGUUUGGAUGAAAAUGUGAGUAUAAACUGAAACUAGAAAAAUUGUGUUUGGAUGAAAAUGUGAGUAUAAGGUGGAAUGGUUGGUAGUUAUAAAUAGAAAAUAAUGAUAUUACCUCUAUAAUUGAAUUUAAAAUUUUAAACUUAUAAUUUUAAAUUAAAAAUUUUAACUUUUAAAUUUUAAAUUUUGAAAUUAAAAUUUAAAAUUUUAAUUUUCAAAUUUUUAAUUUUAAAUAUCAAAUUUUAAAUUUAAGACGAAAUUUGAAUUUGAAAGAUAUAAAAUAUCAAAUUUAAAACUUUAAAACUAAAAAUAUCAAAUUUAAAAUUUAAAAUUUAAAAAUAUCAAAUUUAAAAUUUAAACUUUAAAAUUUAAAAUUUAAAAUUAUAAAUUAUAAAUUUUAGAAAUUUAAAUUUAAAAUAAAAAUCUCUCUCUCUCUCUCUCUCUUUCUCUACCGGGGAAAAAUUCUAAAAUGCAACGGGUAUAUUGGUGACGUGGCGUAACAAACCAAUCAAAUGUCGCAUUUUAGAGGUAUAUGUCCCAUCAUGAUUAUAAAAAAAUAUUUUUAUUGUACUUUUAUUUGAAAAAGAAGGAAUGUGAUUGGCUUGUUAUUGAUAACGUGGUGCAUGUGUGAUAGAGUAGAAUUCCUUCUACCGGAGGGGGGUGGGGGAGAGGAACAAGGGCUUUGUACUACCGGGUUGGGUGGGAACAACUAGUUCCCACCCUCCAAAAUCAUGUUUGGGUAUAAAGGGGAGGAUAACCCCCUUAUUCCCCUUUAUACCCGAUCCAAACGGUAGCUAAGUAUUUUUAUUUUAUAUUAUGAUAUUUUAAAUAAUGAGUUAUAUUACACUUUUAAAACUUAGAUAUAUGUAUUUUACAUUUAGAAAAUAUAAGAGCAAAAAAAAAUUAUGAAUAACCCGCAUACUCACCCGCCCACCAGCAGGCGGGUAUGGGUAAAGAUGUUGGCUAUCUAAAAAUUUAUAAAUAUGUCCAAGUAACCCACAGAUACAAUGAGCUGCCCACGAGUUCCAUUUGCCAAAUCUAUUUCUAGCUGAAUUUAUAUCUAAAAAAUAAACAAAGUAAAUAACUUGUCAUUUUUCUCUCAAAAGAAUUUAUUACCUUGAAUUAUAAAAAUAUGGAUACAAGAUCCUAAAUUUUAAUCAACUUUUAGUUUAAUUCUCAAACUUCUAAAUACAACAUUCGAGAUUCCAAACUUGUAUGAUUGUUUUGCAAAUCCUUAUAUAAUUUAAUAUAUUUAUCCAUAAACUAAUAUUUAUAUGGCCAAUUUGCAUAAAAAAUUCACUUAUUUUGGGCUUUUGCAAAAGCGGGCCACAUUUUUCGUUUUUUGCAGAUUCGGUCCGCUUUUUCAGCAAACUAACCAAAAUACCUUUAUACCUUUUUCUUUCUCCUAUUUUUUUUUUUCUCGUUCUUUUUUUCUUUCUCUUCCCAGAGAGCGGCGGAAGCGGAGGCAGCCUACUUUGAUUUUGUCCGGCGCAUCCUUACCCUCGCCCGUACAUCCCCCACCUUCCUCGCCUUCGACCCCACCGAAGCCGUGUCGCGACUCUUUUUUUUUUCCCUCUCCGACUCUCCUCCACCGUCUCCGACGACGACGCCUUUCUCGCCCUUUCUCGCCUUUUCUUUCCCUUCCCCGCCCUUCUUGCCCUAUCCCUCUCCCUCUCCCUCCUCCUUCGCCGCCUCCGACAACGACGCAUCUUCCCCGGCGCCGAUACCGUGGAGGUCACUGCGGCGUUGCAGCCUCGGAGCGGGGGUCCUUAGCGGUGUCGUCGCCGGCGCCGUGGCCAUUGGCAGAGAGAGGUGGCCAAAAAAAAUUAUAGAAGAAAAAAGAAAAAAAAAACAAAGAUAAAAAUUUAUAGAAAAAAGAAGGAUGAAGAUGAAAUUGCAUUGUUAACUGCAAAAAAAUUAUAAGUUGCACUACAUAAGAUAUAAACUGCAGGUUUAAGAUGAAAACUACACUCUUUAAACGAAAAUUACACUCUUUGGGAGAUAUUUACACUGUUUCUCCUCUUAUUGCAUUUUUUUAGAUAUAAACUGUAUCCAUUAAGAUGAAAGUUACACUCUUUAAACGAAAGUUGCACUCUUUGUAUUUCUCCUCUUCUUGCACUCUUUGAGAUGUAAACUGCAUCCCUUCAAGAGAUAUUUAUACUGUUUCUCCUCUUGUUGCACUAUUUUUCCUCUUGUUACACUAUUUUUUAUCUUAAACUGCACCCUUUAAAAGGAGAAAUAGUAUAAUAAGAGGAGAAAUAGUGCAACAAAAGAAAAAAUAGUGCAACAAGAGUAGAAACAGUAUAAAUAUUUCUUAAAGGGGUGCAGUUUUCAUCUCAAAGAGUGCAAGAAAAGGAGAAAUAGUGUAAAUAUCUCUCAAAGAGUGCAACUUUCGUUUAAAGAGUGUAACUUUUAUCUUAAUGGAUGCAGAUUACAUCUAAAAGAGUGCAAUAAGAAGAGAAACGAUGUGAAUAUCUCCCAAAGAGUGUAAUUUUCGUUUAAAAAUUAUAAUUUUCAUUUUAAAGCUGCAGUUUACAUAUUAAGUAGUGCAACUUAUAAUUUUUUUUUUUACAGUUAACGAUGUAAUUUCAUCUUCAUCCUUUUUUUCUAUAAUUUUUUAUCUUUAUUUUUUUUCUUGUUUCUUUUAUAAUUUUUUUGGGUCACCCGUCUCUCCCAACAGCCAGGCACCGGCGACGACGCUUUUAAGGACCUCCCGCUCCGAGGCUGCAGUGCCGCAGCAACCUCCACGGUUUUCGGCGCUGACGAAGAUGCGUUGUCGUCGGAGGCGGCAGAGGAGGAGGGAGAGGGAGAGGACGAGAAGGGCAGGGAAGGGCGAGAGAGGCGUCGUCGUCGGAGACGGUGGAGGAGAGUCGGAGAGAAAAAAAAAAAAGAGUCGCGGCGGGGUCGGAGGCGAGGAAGGUGGGGGUGCGUGGGCGAGAGCAAAGGCGAGGGCGAAAGCAUAAGGGUGAGAGGCGGACCGUUCCACCUCCGCAGACCAUUUCCACCUCCGCCUCCGCCUUCGCUACUUUUUUCCGCGAGAGAAAAAAAAAAAGAACGAGAGAACGAAGAGGAGAGAGAAAGAGGAUCGAGAAAAAGUAAUAAGGAUAUUUUGGUCAGUUUGCUUAAAAUUCGGACUGAAUCUGCAAAAUCAAAAAAGGCGGCCCAGUUUUGCAAAAACCCAAAAUUAGUGGAUUUUUUAUGCAAAUUGGCCUAUUUAUAUUGAUGAACCAUUAAUAUUAAUAUUUUUAUUAAUCUAAUUAAUUUUUUUUACUAGUUAUCUAAUAAAAUAAUUUACUACCUAAUUAAAAAGUUAAAUUAUUUUUUAUAAUUAAUUAAUUAAUUAAUAUAUUUUUAUUAUCUUAUACAAUAUUUAGGGUUGUCAAUGGAUACAGAUAUUCAAACCCAAAUCCGAAUGGAGCAAAUUUAUCCGAUACUAAAUGAAUAUGGUUUCGAAUAUGGAUAUCAAAAAUAAAAAUCCAAUGGAUAUAAAUAUGGAUAUAGAUUUUGACUGUAUCCGAUCCGAAUUUGACCCGAAUCUGAUCCGAAACCGAAUUUAUUUUACAUUAUAUAUAAUAAUAUGUAUAUAAAAAUUUGAUAUUAUAUUUGAAUUUAUAUUUUAAAACUUUAAAUUCAAUAUAAUAUAUUUUGAAAUAUUGAAAAAAGAAAUAAUUGUUUCGGGUUCAGAUUUGGGUUCGAGUUUCAGGUUUUUGAUCGAGUUCGAGUUUGGAUAUGAAUUUUUAAAAUUUGUCGGUUCGGAUUCGGAUUUCGGGUUUGUAGUCGGGUUCGGGUUCGGGUUCAGAUUCGGAUUUUUGAAAAUCCGCUCCGAAUCCGACCGGUUGACAUCCCUAACAAUAUUCAUAGCUAAUAAAUUUAUUUGUUAAUUUAUUAAAUUAUUUUUAAUUAAUAUUUUGAUGUUAAUUAAUUAGAUAAAAUAUUUUUAAUUUAAAAUUUUAGCUCUUAUUUCUCUUGUUCCAAUCUAAUCAUUCAAAUAUUAUUUACCUAAUUCUCAGAAACAACCCAAUUUUCUUUCAAACGUAAAAUUGCUCUAAUUUUUAUUUAGGCUUCUUUUGUAUAUAGCCCCCUCUUAAUUUUUUUUUUCAUAAAUAACUCCACGAAAUUUAUAAGACGUAAGUGCGAUAUAAGCGCCACAUUAGCGGCUGUAAAGGGUUAAGUUGAACACGAUGGAUGAUUCACCGUGUUUGGUCGGGCUCAGCAGUAGCCAACCCUACAGUGCAAGAGAACUCAAACAGCACUACAGUGCAUUUUAGCUUAAACAGGGUGAAUCAUUUACCGUGUUUAGUUCACCAUAUUUAAUUUAUACUAGCCAGUCGCUGACGUGGCGCUUGCGUAGUUGGAAUAAUGCGAGUUUUGCAAUUAUAAGUUUCGUGAAAUUAUUUAUGAAAAAAAUUUAUAAGAGAAACUGUAAAACCUUUUUUUUUAAUUUAUAUUUGAACUUAUGUUUAUUUCUAAAAUAAAUAAUUUUUUCGGCUGAAAUUUUAUCGGCGUGUGAACAAACUCCCACCUCGAGAUCCGUCUCCGAGUCCAAGUCGUGUUUCCUGGCACGGUGGACUCGCAGCCGACACGCUUUUUCCGCUCUCGGAUAGCCAGACCAAUCCACUUCGCUCAGCAUCCGACACGUGUACAGUUCCCUCUAGACGAACGGUCGAGAUCAUUACCCCAAACUGUUCCUUUUCAUCUCUUUUUAUGUAUGGGGACCCCUCAAUUACACGACGUGUUGAAAUAGAUAACUUUUUGAUUGAUAUUCUCUUAAUUUUUAUUUUUUUUAAUCUGAAUUAUGGAUAUUUUUAAUUGGACAAUUAAACCUUUCAAAAUUAUUUAAUUUUUAAAUUAUUCGAUUUGAGUCGGCUAAUGACACUGUGAUCGUAAAAUUUGAAUGCAAGUCUUAUAAACUAUAAAUUUAUUAAAAUAAAUAAUUAGUUUAAAUUUUAAAAUUAAAAUGUUGUUGGCCGGCUCAAAUUAAACAAAUUGAAAGAUUAGGUAAUAAAAUUAAAAUUUUAAAAGGUUGAGUAACCAACUCAAAAGGGGCCUAUAGUUCAUAUAAGUUACAUACAUUUUAAACUAUUUUUUAAAAUUUAAAAUUUUAUGAUUAAUUAAGUUAAAAUUUUAUUAAAUUUUACGGCAAAAUUAGAAUUUUUUAGUUAAUUAAUCGAGUUUUAUUUGUGACAAGUAGACUCCUCAACUUUAUUUUAUUUUAUUUUUUAACUAGCAAUCCUUUGACUUCUAUUUUUUAAUUAAGUUUUCAUAGUUAGUUAAGUUACAAAUUUUGUUAAAUUUGGUAGCUCAAUUAGCUACUACUAGGUAAUUUAUCUAAAAUUAUUCACUAUGAAAUAGUUUCAACUAUUAAAUCUAAUAAAACUAUCAAUCAAUUGGUAAAAUUUUUAAUUCACUUGGCUAAGAACACUCAAUUUUUUUUUUAAAAAGUUGAGUGUUUUUAAUUCACAAGAAAAGAUAAAAAUGUACGGAGUUUACUUGAUUUAUGACCCAUUUUGAUCCAACUACUUAACCCUUAAAACUUUAAUUUUGUUAUCUAACAUUUUAAUUUAUUUGAUUCGAGUCAUUUAAUGGCUCCUAAGUUUAAAAAUUUCAAUACAUCAUUUAUUUUUCACGAGCCUAAUUAGCAUAUUUUAUAUAAUUUAUAUAACUAUAAUUUUUGAAAGUAAAUAAUGGGACUAAAAUUUAUAUAAAAGAGUCAUCAAAUGAUUUAUAUCAGAUAAAUAGGAAGAUUGAGUAUCAAAAGCAAAAUUUUUAAGUGGUUGAAUCAAAACGGUUUAAAUGUUCGGAUAAAUUCUAUACUUUUUUUAUUUCAAAAAAAUAAAAGUUGGGAAGUUUCUUUCAAAAUUGUAUAGUUGAGGGGGCUUCAUACAUUUUCACCCACUAUAAAACCCAGAGACCGUGUUCGUCUCAAUCCCUUUUCGCCAAGGAAAAGGGCGAGAGGAGGGGGAGGGGAUUCGCCUCUCUCUCUCUCUCUCUCUCUCUCUCUCUCUCUCUCUCUCUAUCUCUCGAUCUCGAUCUCGAUCUCGAGAUGGGUUCCAUGGAGACCCCAAUACCCUACGCCCCGGCGCACGAUAACGGCUCGGAGGAGGUGGAGGUGGAGGAGAAAGGGGAGGAGACGGAGAUGGGGCUGAACCCCGUGGAUCCAUUCCUUGUCGAGGCCCUCGAGAACCCUCGCCAUCGCCUCACCGGUAAAAUUGCGUGCUUGAGCUUAUUUGGUAGCUUAAUUGUUGGAUUAGAUGUUUCAUUUGAUUGUUCUGAUUAGGGAUUUACCAAGGUUUGAUGCAUAGGAGGUGGAAUUGGUUUGUAUGUUUGGGGAAUUUGGGCUUUGGGGGUUUGCUGAUUUGUGUUUUGAGGCGAAUUUGAUGGUUUGAGUCCGUUCCGACCUUGUUAUGCUUGCUCAUGGUGAUUUGUGAAGGUUUAUGAGGUUAAUUUCCGUUAGGUUAUUGAUAUGACGCUGAUGUAAAGGGCAACUUGGUUUAAUAGUAGGUUUGAGCUGGAUUACAAGCUCUGUGUUACCCAAAAGAUCGAUUUUGUUGGGUAACAUCUAACAUGGUACUAAACCCAACCCUAAGCUCCUGCCGUUUUAUAAUGUCAUGGGUCUGAUCCCCACCUUCAACAUCCAUUUGAUGCAUUUAUUUAAUGAGUUAAAUCUCUACUUGCCUCACCUAUGAUUUCACGUUCCUUUUGUAUCCAUCAUGCACAUGGGUGCGAAUUUAAUUUUUGGAGGGGCCAAAGAAAAAUUUAUUAUAAUAUUAUUUAUUUAAAAUUAGUAAUUAAUAGUUGUUUUUUUGGGAAAAAAAUGAUGUAAAACAAAGUUGGGAGGGGGGCCAUGGCCCCUGCCAGCCCCCCUUCUCUCCGUUCCUGCUUGAGUAAAGGCGGUGUGUGUAUAUAUAUAUAUAUAUAUAUAUAUAUGAGCCCGGCCGGGAUACUAUCGAUAACACCAAGGAUUUGGUGCUAUCGAGUUUUCCAUUGUUAGAUUUAACUCUUUGAUUAUUUUUACCCGUUAGAUUAUAUUAUUCAACCAACCACUCACUCAACCCUAAGGGGCCCACAUCAUCCUAACCACACAUUUCUCAAUUCAAGGAUUAAAAAACUAAUAGCACCAAUAGCUUGAUGCUAUUGAUAGUAUUCCAGCCUAGUUCUAUACAGCCUAGUUCUNAACCACUCACUCAUCCCUAGGGGGCCCACAUCAUCCUAUCCACACAUUUCUCAAUCCAAGAGCUAAAAAACUAAUAGCACCAAUAGCUUAGUGCUAUUGAUAAUAUUCUUCUAUAUAUAUAUAUAUAUUUGGGCCUGUAUCCUAUCAUAUCGAUCUUCUGGGUAACAUCAUGGAGAAGAGAUACUGCAGCUAAUACUUAGAUCAGCUCAACUCUCAUUGCUGUCAUUGUAUCUUGAGUCUAUGGUCAAGAAAGAUAUUUUCAGAUAUGUCCGAGGAAUCAUAAUUUCAUCCCACCAUUUACUUAUCUAUGUUUUAAGAUGCUUCGUAGGCUAUUUAUUGAGUACCUAAGCUAAAACACAAUUUCUUAAUGACAAAAGUUACAACAAUCACUAAUAAAUGUAGCUAUUGUAAUUUUUUUUAAAAUAAAAAUCUAGUUUUAAAGAGGUUUCAAAGGGGCAGUUUCUUCAUCUCUCACUUUCCAUUCCAUUUCCUCUUUGAGAGAAGUUGUCAAGAUUUCUAGAAUCAUAUGUCAGGUCAAAACAUAUAUCUUUCUGAAAUUUAGGUCAAUUCAAAGGCAUUUGUAUAAACAAAGAUUCUUUUAACUGGUUUGCUCCACUCAUGCUUGCUUACAGUGGAAUAGAAUGACAAAAUAUUUAGAACUUCCUUAGAAAAGCAUACUAGCAUAGAAUUUACAAUGGAGUGAAAUAAUUUUCUUGCCUUGAAUAAGAAUUUUCUGUUAAAAUCAACUUUCUCCACCUUAGUUGCAUGAGACUAAUCUAUGAAAAUAGUGGUAAACAAAACUUUCUUCUGUAUAUUGAAUAUCAAUGCAUUCUUACUCGAAUUGUUUUCCUUUCAGGAGAAAAAAAUACCCCAAACCUUAUUCCCUUAAAUUUACCCUUUAAUUAGAGUUAUCUUGAUAGUUCUGAAUAUAAACAAGAAACCUGUUUUGACCCCAAGGACCAACACUCGACAUGACAUAUUGCCAACUCGAAUUGACAAAAUUUUAUUUUCUGUUGGAGUCUAAAUACUAAAUAUAUUUAUACAUUAGCUAUCAUCUCCAUAAAUUCACUUCCAAUGUGUUGUUCCCAUGCUUGAGAUCACUUGGUGAAUCUUUUUGUCAUGAAUCUACUGGUUAACCUUUCUGACCUGAUGAUGCACCAAUAUUAUCCAAUAGGUGUGAUAACUUGUUACAUCCAUCGUAAUGCCUUCAAUUUGAUCUGGUAGAGAAUACAUGCCCAAUUGUUUUUGGAUAAGCAAUUUACUAUCUUCUUCAUUCUCUACUUCCUCCUAUUUUAUCUUUUCAUUGCAUAGUAUGGUUCCACACUGUGCGGCAGAUUUUCUAUCUUGCUGCUCUUCGAUAUCAUUUACUUCAAUUCCAUCGCUAUCAUAAUCUUUCUCUUUAUUUUAAAUGCCGUUAAUUUGCUUUGUAAAUUUAUGAAUUUUUGCUAUUAGGGGUUUGACAGGCAUAUCUUGUUUGAUGCUUUGGCCAGAUUAUCUAAACAUAUCUUUGGUUUCUAUUUAGUUUUCUUAUAAUUCGAGAUUUUCUAGGUCAAAUGUCAAAAGUAGCGAAUCAUCCUUUACAUGUUUCUUUCACAAUAUAAGAUCCUUCAUUACAAGUGAUGAAGCUUUAUCUCCUGAUAAAGAGACCUAUGCACGAAUAAUGAAUCUGUAGAUUAUUUGACUCGGACAAUACAAUUUCUAUUGAUGCCAAACUGAUGCAACCUGAUGUAUGCAGGAUGCUUGUAAGUCAUAGCUUUUUUUUUUUUGUGGNGGGGGGGCGGGGGGGAGGCGGGGUAGAAGAUAUUAGCAAGACAUGAACUUUACCAUUACUACCUUUUUGUAAAUUAGAUUUACUGAUGUAGAUUACAAAAGAAUCAAAUAGCUUUAUGAUGGAUUUUGAUGUUGUUAGUAUAAAUCUGUAGUAUAUAAGGCGUUUUCCCAGGUUUCAUAUAGAUUUCUGCUGCAAAAAUUAGAUUCAAUAAGCUGAAAUAAAAAAUAUCUAUGAUUAACUGAGUCUAAAGAAUCAGCCAUGCAACAAUGAAACUGCAGCAAGAAAAUGAUUAAAUUAGGUCGACUCGAGUAAAAGUUUAAUCAAGAAAAGGAGGAAGAAAAAGAGUUGGAGAGAGAAGCUCCACACCUAGGAAACC
rnacentral:lncRNA from 1 species